rfam:Pristionchus pacificus strain PS312 contig4003, whole genome shotgun sequence.
GCGGGUAUAGCUCAGUGGUAGAGCACCCGCAUACGUAUCGGAAGGUCGGGGGUUCGACUCCCUCCGCCUCCA